rnacentral:rRNA from 1 species
GCCAGCAGCUAGCUCUCUGCAACUCUCACAUGGUCACCCACUGAAGCUAAACAGGGCUGUGCUUGGUCAGUACCUGGAUGGGAGACCACAUGGGAAAGCUAGGUUGCUGUCG